AGCACCAUGGCAGCCAUUGUCGCCGGCCAGGUUCCCCUCCCGGCGGCGGCUCUGCCACCUGCCUCCUCCCUGGCCUCCGUCGUUUUUGAGCGCGUACGCAAGCCGAGGCGGCUCCGGCGAACCGAGCGCAGCCGCCCCAUUCCACGCGGGUCGGUCCGGCGGCUCAGCCCUGCAGUGCCUCGCUCACCACGUUGGUUUUCGGCUGUUCCGCCCCUCGAUGCCAUGUAAAAAUCCCUUUUCUUCAGCACAAGUCUCUCCGGAUUUGUCUGAAUUGCAAUCGACCCUAAGCAUUACCCGCCCAUCCCCGGGAGCUAGCCGGAUUGAGUUCAAGGCAUUUUAAUCUGACGAGUUUUGCUCUGAAGACUGGAGCAGGCAUCUCAACUGCAACAGAUUGCCAAACUGGAAGUAGCCAAAACUAGGUAGGUAGUAUCUCAUUACUGUGGUUCACUUUUUACAAACUGCCCGGUUACAGAAUUUCAGCCAACCAAACAAACUUGAUUAAGACAAAAAACCUGGUAUGCUUAUAGUAUGAUCUGAACCUGUA